ACGUACAUUCCUUCUGAUACAAAGCUGAACGUCUCGUCUGGAGGGAAAUCGUUUUAGUUUGAAGACACCGUGUGAUUUACUCGUGGACACAGUGCUGCUCUUGAAAAGCUACAGACUCAGAUGCAUUGUCGAGGCCAGGCUCUAAUUUUCAUUCUCAAGCCGAUGGGAAACAGAGA